rnacentral:rRNA from 1 species
CCUACGGGUGGCAGCAGUGGGGAAUAUUGCACAAUGGGGGAAACCCUGAUGCAGCGACGCCGCGUGAGUGAAGAAGUUUUUCGGUAUGUAAAGCUCUAUUAGCAGGGAAGAAAAUUACGGUACCUGAUCAUGACCCCCCGGCCAACUACGUGCCAGCAGCCGCGGCACUACGUAGGGGGCAGGCGUUAUCCGGAUUUACUGGGUGUAAAGGGAGCGUAGACGGGAGCACUAGUCUGGAGUGAAAUGCCGGGGCAUAACCCCGGAACUGCCUUGGAAACUGGGCAGCUAGAGUGCAGGAGAGGUAAGUGGAAUUCCUAGUGUAGCGGUGAAAUGCGUAGAUAUUGGGAAGAACACCGGUUGCGAAGGCAGCUUACUGGAGUGUAACUGACGUUGAGGCUCGAAAGCGUGGGGAGCGAACAGGAUUAGAUACCCUGGUAGUC